GCCCUUAGAGUUUGAUCCUGGCUCAGUACGAACGCUGGCGGCAUGCCUAACACAUGCAAGUCGAACGAUGCCUUCGGGCAUAGUGGCGCACGGGUGCGUAACGCGUGGGAAUCUGCCUCUUGCUUCGGAAUAACAGUUAGAAAUGACUGCUAAUACCGGAUGAUGUCUUCGGACCAAAGAUUUAUCGGCAAGAGAUGAGCCCGCGUAGGAUUAGGUAGUUGGUGGGGUAAAGGCCUACCAAGCCGACGAUCCUUAGCUGGUCUGAGAGGAUGAUCAGCCACACUGGGACUGAGACACGGCCCAGACUCCUACGGGAGGCAGCAGUGGGGAAUAUUGGACAAUGGGGGAAACCCUGAUCCAGCAAUGCCGCGUGAGUGAUGAAGGCCUUAGGGUUGUAAAGCUCUUUUACCAGGGAUGAUAAUGACAGUACCUGGAGAAUAAGCUCCGGCUAACUCCGUGCCAGCAGCCGCGGUAAUAAGGGCG
rnacentral:rRNA from 1 species